rnacentral:rRNA from 1 species
CCUACGGGUGGCAGCAGUAGGGAAUAUUGCUCAAUGGGGGAAACCCUGAAGCAGCAACGCCGCGUGGAGGAUGAAGGCUUUAGGAUUGUAAACUCCUUUUGUGAGAGAAGAGAAUGACGGUAUCUCACGAAUAAGCACCGGCCAACACCGUGCCAGCAGCCGUGGUAAUAUGGCGGGUGCAAGCGUUACUCGGAAUCACUGGGCGUAAAGAGUGCGUAGGCGGGUUUGUAAGUAAGACGUGAAAUCCUGUAGCUUAACUACAGAACUGCAUUGGAAACUAUGAGUCUUGAGUGUGGGAGAGGUAGGUGGAAUUCUUGGUGUAGGGGUGAAAUCCGUAGAUAUCAAGAGGAAUACUCAUUGCGAAGGCAGCCUACUGGAACGUUACUGACGCUCAUGCACGAAAGCGUGGGGAGCAAACAGGAUUAGAUACCCCAGUAGUC